rnacentral:tRNA from 1 species
GCCUUCGUGAUGUAAGGGUAGCACACUCGGCCCGUAUUCGAGAGGUCCAGGAUUCGAGUCCCGGCGAGGGCG